AACGAACGCUGGCGGCAGGCCUAACACAUGCAAGUCGAGCGAAGCCUUCGGGCUUAGCGGCGGACGGGUGAGUAACGCGUGGGAACGUGCCCUUUGGUACGGAAUAGCCCCGGGAAACUGGGAGUAAUCCCGCAGGUGGUCGAGAGACGAAAGAUUUAUCGCCAAAGGAUCGGCCCGCGUUGGAUUAGGUAGUUGGUGGGGUAAUGGCCUACCAAGCCGACGAUCCAUAGCUGGUUUGAGAGGAUGAUCAGCCACACUGGGACUGAGACACGGCCCAGACUCCUACGGGAGGCAGCAGUGGGGAAUCUUAGAAAAUGGGGGAAACCCUGAUCUAGCCAUGCCGCGUGAUCGAUGAAGGCCUUAGGGUUGUAAAGAUCUUUCAGUGGGGAAGAUAAUGACUGUACCCACAGAAGAAGCCCCGGCUAACUCCGUGCCAGCCGCCGCGGUAAAAC
rnacentral:rRNA from 1 species